GAGAAAAAUCUACUUCCGCAUUCUAAAUGCGCCACAGGGUGGUGACGUAGCUAUCGGGCUUGGAAUGCCAGCCUCAGUCAGAGACAGAGAACGAAGGGAGGAAGAAACUGCACCUCAGGCUCGGACAUGGAAGUAAGUACAGACUCAAAACUUAAUCUAACAACUAUUAACUGGCCAAUUUUCAUAAACUAAUGGCUUAGCAUAUCUAAGAAUGUAAAAAGGACGUUUGGUAAAGACUCGAUGAGCCUAAGAUGUAUCUGUUUGGAUAGUACUGACAAAGUAGCGAACAAGCUAACGCUAUCGCUAACAGGGGAAAUAAAACUUCGAUCUUUACAUUUGACUGACUGCAAGCAAAUCCCCUUCAUAUAUUUUUUACUUUUAGGAGGCAAGGAGCACAUGGCUUCAUUGAUAAAAGCUAUGAUGAGAAAAUUGCCUGUUUUUGGAGUCUAAACAUGAUGCAGCUGCUUGGAGAAUAAAAGCUAAGGACAGACAACACAGCAGUAUCACCUGAUGUUGCUGAUAGACCUCCAGCCGACUUCUACAAAGACACACUUCGGAUGCAAAUGACUGGGAACAAUAAGGUCAUUGCUGCCUGUGCUGUCCUCCACAACAGAAGACCUGCAGACCUGCACACUGGGCCAAUGCUGUUGUCACCGUCAUAUACUCUGAAGUCUGAAACAGUUUCCAAUGGGAUAAACCAGGCACAACAAUGUCUUAAUAAAGUGAAUGCCCUUCGUUCAUUUAUUGCUGGUGUAAAUACAAAACAAGUUUAGUUUACAGCUGUGCCAAAUAUAGAAACCUCUACACUGACUUUACACUUCCUUAGCACUGAGGAAGAGCAUUUAAAACAAUAUCCCAGAAGAAUAUACUUUUGACCGCAUAUACUGUAGAAUAUAACUUUCCCUUUGUGAGACUAAAAUAAACCCUUAUGGUAUAUACCAGAAUAUUUGUGUAUACUAACUAGUUCAUACUAGUUAAUAUUUGUAUUAUGAAAAGAUGCAUGAAAAUUUAAGAACAAUAACCCUGAGGCCAGCUAUAGUGCUAUACUGCGUUUAAGCAGUAGGUGGUCGAACCUAUCCAAUUUUGCAUUUAAAACGUGACUGUCUGUAAAAAGGUAAGAGAGAAGCUACUAUGGAUUUCAUCUAACGGAUUUCUUUGAAGGGCUCCACACUAUGUCUUAUGUUAUUUUUACAAAAUCAUUUGUGGAGCAGUGGUGUCUGACUGUUGGAGCAAUGAUAUAAAAAACACUUCUGAAAAUAAACAUUGUCUUCUUAA
rnacentral:lncRNA from 1 species